CUAUCAUGCAAGUCGAGCGAACAGACGAGGAGCUUGCUCCUCUGACGUUAGCGGCGGACGGGUGAGUAGCACGUGGAUAACCUACCUAUAAGACUGGGAUAGCUUCGGGAAACCGGAGCUAAUACCGGAUAAUAUAUUGAACCGCAUGGUCCAAUAGUGAAAGACGGUUUUGCUGUCACUUAUAGAUGGAUCCGCGCCGCAUUAGCUAGUUGGUAAGGUAACGGCUUACCAAGACAACGAUGCGUAGCCGACCUGAGAGGGUGAUCGGCCACACUGGAACUGAGACACGGUCCAGACUCCUACGGGAGGCAGCAGUAGGGAAUCUUCCGCAAUGGGCGAAAGCCUGACGGAGCAACGCCGCGUGAGUGAUGAAGGUCUUCGGAUCGUAAACUCUGCUACUAGGGAAGAACAAAUGUGUAAGUAACUAUGCACGUCUUGACGGUACCUAAUCAGAAAGCCACGGCUAACUACGUGCCAGCAGCCGCGGUAAUACGUAGGUGGCAAGCGUUAUCCGGAAUUAUUGGGCGUAAAGCGCGCGUAGGUGGUUUUUUAAGUCUGAUAUGAAAGCCCACGGCUCAACCGUGGAGGGUCAUUGGAAACUGGAAAACUUGAGUGCAGAAGAGGAAAGUGGAAUUCCAUGUGUAGCGGUGAAAUGCGCAGAGAUAUGGAGGAACACCAGUGGCGAAGGCGACUUUCUGGUCUGUAACUGACGCUGAUGUGCGAAAGCGUGGAGAUCAAACAGGAUUAGAUACCCUGGUAGUCCACGCCGUAAACGAUGAGUGCUAAGUGUUAAGGGGUUUCCGCCCCUUAGUGCUGCAGCUAACGCAUUAAGCACUCCGCCUGGGGAGUACGACCGCAAGGCUGAAACUCCAUGGAAUUGACGGGGG
rnacentral:rRNA from 1 species